rnacentral:rRNA from 1 species
AGGCAAAGCCGCGAGGCAGAGCAAAACCCUAAAAAUGGUCCCAGUUCGGAUCGUAGGCUGCAACCCGCCUGCGUGAAGUUGGAAUUGCUAGUAAUCGCGGAUCAGCAUGCCGCGGUGAAUACGUUCCCGGGCCUUGUACACACCGCCCGUCACACCAUGGAAGUCGGUAAUGCCCGAAGUCAGUAGCCUAACCGCAAGGGGGGCGCUGCCGAAGGCAGGAUUGAUGACUGGGGUGAAGUCGUAACAAGGUAGC